rnacentral:tRNA from 1 species
AUCGAGCGGAUCGACUUGGCCCUCUCAAGGCUGAAACAGGGGUUCGAUUCCCCUAGGGAGCGCCA